GUGCCCCGCAGAGACUCGUCAUCCCCAUUCCCACGCCCGAUCCUCCCCAACCCCCUGCCCACGGCGCCGUCGGCCAGAUCACUGCCCAGCGCGCCGCCAGCCGGAUCCCCGCCCAGCGCGCCGCCGGCCGGAUCCCUCCCCAGCGUGCCGCCGCCCUGCUCCCUCCCCAGCGCGUCGCCGCCCGGCUCCUUCCCCAUCGCUCCGCCGCCCGGUUACCUCCCAGCGCGCCGCCGCCCGAUUCCUUCCCCAGUGCUCCGCCUCCAGGCUUCCUCCCCAGAGUGCCGCCCGGCUCCCUCCCUAGAAGCCACCGCGGCAUGUUCCUCUGCCGGCCAACGGACACGGUGGGCCAUUCAACUUCCUACCGCUGGCCGUCCUCCCUGCCGCGGGGCACCUCUCCCCCCUGCGCUGUCCGUGGAGACAUUCCCCUAUGAGCUUGAGGCAGAGCUCACCUUCUCCACAUCCCCUUCCUCUACUUGUUGCAGCCAUCUACGCCGUAGGUCGUCACACAUCGAGCAGUUCAAUGUGUAUUUUUAGAAGAAAAUCAACAACGGCGGCUGCACUGGAGUAGCAGGACUACUAUUGUUGAUAGGGGGCUAUAAGAUGUUGACUGUCAUUGCCCUUCCAUAGAUAUUGUUGGUGUCGAACCAUUCGCUGUGAGUUUCAGCCCAUAGGUUGCUCAUGAUCCUUGCUUCUUAAGCUCCACUUUGUCGGCGCCGUCAGUCCACAGAAGUAGGGGCGGCGUGCCCAUCAACAAACAAGAACAGAAGGCGAAAUCCUGGCACACCUGAUAGUUGAAACUUACACAUGGCCUGCGACCAACUGCGCCGCCUCUAUAAGCUCCUCGGGAAUGAUUUGGUAGUAGCUGGGAUCCCCUUACAGCGGCAAAAUCCCGGUGCACCCAGCCGCCGCUCGUGAUCCCUGCUCCUUCAGCUCGACUUCGCCGGUGUCGUCAGUCCACAGGAGUAGGAGCGUCAUGCCCGGCAACAAACAAGAACAGAAGGAACUGCACGCUAUAUACUGAAUUUCUACAGAAACUGCUGCAUAUACAUGACUUAUGAGGCUACCAGAGGCUACUACACCUCCAGAUUAUUGACAGCCUGCAACUUACUUGCUUCCAACAUGAUAGUAACACAUUCUAAGGUUCGUAAUCGGCUACUUCAGAACGCUGUUGCUAUUCUGUGGGUAAAGGUCCUCAUUUUGUUGAUGGUGGCAUCUUACAAAGAAAAGGUAACCUGCAUUUACUUAUUAUUCUUGUACUUUGCCCUUCAAAUAUAGAAGUAGGAUCAAUGUCAAUAAGCAUUUUCACAACUUCUCUUAUUGUCGGUCGCUCAGAAGCCGCUCGUAUAAUUCAAGCAAUGGCAAAUGUUAAGGACCUUUAUUAUAACUUUUGAUCCAUAGUUGCUAACUUUUAGAUCACAAACCGCUGUAGUAUUCCGGUCUGAACAUUGGGAUCAAACUCAUUUUGAUCAUGACAUGAUAAAAAAUGGAAUGGUGGGAAGUAGCAGGUCCAGUUUCUAGUAAAUGGGAUCGUGGGCAGAUGCAUAAUAGUCCUAUCCUAUAAUCUGCAGUUUUCAGGAUAAACGGGAUCAAACGGCUUCUUCCCCAGACCAUGCACGGCUUUCUGCCUAGGCAAACCCCUUUUAUUCCUCCCAGGCACAACCACAACAUCCUUUUUAGUCCAAAUUGACCGCUGACUGCGGUCCAAGUUCAGCAAAUAAUUUUUUAUUUCGGUCCAACCUGGUCGUCCCAAGCAAUUCACCGUCGCAGCUACUAGGCCGAUUGCGUCGAGCCUCCUGCCACCGCCGGUGGGGCUCCAUCGCCGUACUGCCCAUACCGUUCACCGCCACCACACCGGAUCGUUCAACGACACAACCCAAAGCAGUUCAACACCGCGGCUCGGGAGGCACACACUUCGCCCCUCCAUCCCAGGAGAGCAGUAAAUCUCCUUGUGCACGAGCAGUCCUUUGCCGAUGUACACUGCUGCUCUAAGCUCUUUGGCCACUUCUCCAAUAUGUCCAGCACCGUCCCAGUCCAGUCCCGUGGCAUCCCGACGGUCGAGUUCAUGCCGAGCAGCAGUCCACGACCGUCAGCUCCUAUUUCCACUAUAGUGGUUGGGUUGCCGUUUUCCUCAUCCUUCCCGGUGCGCGACAACCCAGCCCACAUCUUGCUGCCGUUCGCCACCCCAAAAUAGCUUCAUCUAUGUAAAUGCUACUAAAUCAGUGGUUUGAUUUAGCAGCCUCCUUCAGUUCAACCACAUGAACUAAAGUAAUCAGAGAAGAACAAUAUACUGAAGAACAAUGUACUGAGUUUUUUGUUAACCAGCGAAGAAAAAUAUACUGAAAUUACAGGGGAUAACACAAUGCAGUGCUAGUCACUAUCGUUAGUACUUAAUGUGAGUCAAAAAAGAAGUGUUGGACAAUGGUUCGUUGUUAAUUAGUGACCAGAACUAGUGUACUUUGGAUUAUUCUAGUGCAAAUGUAGCCUCAAAUUCCUAGUAUGUGUGAACAUGCACACAUCUGACAGAAAAUGGGUUCAUGAGAAAAUGAGGUUCUUAUGAUCAUGUUUGUUGUUAACUUAUUCAGAAGAAAUGCUAUUAAGUUAUAUCAUUAGUGAAAACACAGUUAACUUAUCAAAAAAUAAUUGUAUCAGUUCUGACUCGAGAGGGUGUAAGUGCAGAAGAAAAAAUUGGUUGGUGUAAAGGGUCAUCGAUUGAAAAGUUUAUAAGUUCACCACGACGUCUCAGAUAAGUUCAUGAAAAAGAGUAAACAAAAAAGAAACCCAAAAUGGGAAUUCGAAUGGUAAAAGUUUAAGUCAAAAAUUUCUACUUGGCCUAGAUAGCUCAUAUAUACUUCAAUCUUGUAAUUUAAAAGGUCAAGUCACAAGUUCGGAGAUGAUUGUUUGCAACUAGUUUGCUUUGAUGAUUCUGUAAUUGCAUCAGGCCAUUACAGAAAAUGGCUCUAGUAGUUCAUUAUUUAUUUCAAUUCAUGAAAACGAUAUAGUGCGCCGCCCCGCCUGCAAUGUUGGCUUGCUAGCUGCCAGUGGUUCGUGUGCCCUGGUCGCCGCUACUAUAGGGUAAGGUGAGUGAGAAAGAGAUUACUGAGAGGGAUUUGCUGCUGCUGUUGUUCCAUGUAUUGAUAGAGGAUUGUCGAAUCUAAAGCCAGCUGCACCUUCACAUCCUAUGCACUGUCACAUAUGAGUUGGUGCUCCUGCAGUAGUGUUCUAAUUAGCAAAAGAACAAUGAGAAGGGAAAGAAGAUGGUGGUUAAAUAUUAAGUAACUAAGAACUGGUAGAAUGAGGAUAACAUAAAACAAUGUGUGACUGAAAGAAACUAAAUAUUUUGGUGCGAAAAGUUGUUGCUUUUCUCUGGUGCUGUAGUUCAAUUUACUACAACCGUUCUGCUUGUAAUAGCAUCUUCUGCAGGAAGUUUGAGAUGGGAACACUUGUUUCAAAUGCUCUCCUCUCAUUCGCGAUGCUGCCAACAAGGAAAACCUCUAGGAAGCUUUGCUGGUAAUGCAAUCUCCUAUCCAUCCCAGCUCCAACUUACUGCUGCUAAUCAAUUGUCUGCAUGUAAUAGAAAAGUAGGUGUUUGUUGCAUAAGUUCUAAACUUGUAGGUGUUUGUUGCACAAGUUUGAGUUGUCGCUACUCGGAGAAGCUACUACUAUUGCUAGGUUUGGGGUUCACAUGCUACAACACAUGGAUCCAUGGACAAUGAAUUCAUAUGAGAGAGAUAAUUUGGUUGUGUCAUGCUCUUUAGUGUUUGUUUCUAUUCCUGUUAGCACCAAAUAGUGUUUGAAUUUUUUUAUUUUGUGCUCUCACAUAUUUGUUUGGGCAGUACAAACACAUCAGCACAGUGAGUAAGGAUGUGGCACCUUGGGGAAUAAUGCCUACAAAGCAAGCCCGGGAUGACGAUGCUGAUCACUAGCAUGAAGGAUACCAAGCAAGCUAAGGAUGAAGUACACGAUGAAGGCAAUGAGGACAAUGAAAACAUGCAAUCCAUAAACAUAGCAGCAGCUCCAAGUUCUUCUAUGUAUGAUAAUAUGAUUGCUACUUUUUAAAGGAAGUGUAUAUGAUAGUUUGAUGUUUCUACAAGAAAGGAAAAAAUGGUUUGAAUUAAGAACAUUCAUCAGUAUGAAUAAAAAACAAUUAUCAGUUCGAGUG